rnacentral:rRNA from 1 species
CGGAAUUGCUAGUAAUGGCAGGUCAGCAUACUGCCGUGAAUACGUUCCCGGGCCUUGUACACACCGCCCGUCACACCAUGAGAGUUGGGGAUACCCGAAGCCUGUGAGCUAACUUUUAGAGGCAGCAGUCGAAGGUAGAAUCAAUGAUUGGGGUGAAGUCGUAACAAGGUAGC